rnacentral:tRNA from 1 species
GGGGUUGUGGCUCAAGUGGUAGAGUGCUCACCUUGCACACGAGAGGCACUGGGUUUGAUCCUCAGCACCACA